rnacentral:lncRNA from 1 species
CAGGGCAGCCCCUGGUGAGUCAGGGCCUGAGUCAGCGCCCUCCGCCUUCCCAGAGGCCCCGCCAGGACCUGCAGCCCUGGGCGCCCCAGCAGCCCGGCCCUGCUCAGCGCAGCUCUGGGUUGGAACUUGCACUUUCCGGUAACUCGGACCUCCCCCCGGCCGCCUUCCCAGGCGCCACCAGGCCCAGCAGAUCGUCACCGUCCAGGCUGGAGUGCAGUGGCGCGAUCUCGGCUCACCGCAACCUCCGUCUCCCCGGUUCAAGCGAUUCUCCUGCCUCAGCCUCCCAAGUAGCUGGGAUUACAGGCGUGUGCCACCACGCCCGGCUAAUGUUGUAUUUUCAGUAGAGACGGGGUUUCAGCAUGUUGGUCAAGCUGGUCUCUAACUCUUGAUCUCAAGUGAACGACCAGCCUCAGCCUCCCAAAGUGCUGGGAUUACAGGCGUGAGCCACCGCGCACGGCUAUCCCUUCCAAUAUUUCCGAGGCCAGCUGCCCAGAGAAGGAGGGCUGGGUGGAGAGGACCGUGCCAGCAGCAGUAGGCCUGGGCCAGGAGACAGGCACGCACCUCCGCGGUCUCUGGCGAGUCUAUGUCCACACAGCGGCAGGACCUCCACCCCCAGCCACCUGCAGCAGCCCCACAUCUCCCCCGGGUCACCCUGCUGACAUCAAGAAUGCCUCCCCCAAUGUCCCAACCCAUGAGGGCUUCUUGGAGCUGAACCAGGGCACCGGCCACUUCUGGAGGGGGGCUGCUCGUGACUUCCGACCUCUGUCUCGCUAGUUGGCAUGAGAAGACUGGACUCCUUCUGCAGGCCUCAGGGCAGAGGCAGAUGUCAGCCCCCAGGGAUGUCACUGCCAGAACCCCAGAUGCCCCAAGCCAUCCGGACUCCCCCUGUGCAGUAUCUCUGCUACAAUAAAAUGUACCCAGAUCUGAGUCCUCUCACCUGGGCGACUGCCAAUGUCCCCUGCGGCCCCAUACCCCGCCCCCAGGAGCCCAGAGAAUCUUUCUUUUUAAAGAUAUUCAGACCUCACAGAUAAGUCUGCCCUGACCAGCCCCUCCCCAGUUCCCAGGCCCUAUCCUGACAACAGCCACAACUUCGGAGCAGCUGAAACCUGCUGUGAGUGAAAAAUGAGAAGCUGUUGUUUUAAUUUUACUUUCUCUGAUUACUAAUGAGGUUAUUUCUUCUCUGCAUAAAAACUUCAUUCGUGUUUAA